CCUACGGGCGGCUGCAGUGAGGAAUUUUGGUCAAUGGACGGAAGUCUGAACCAGCCAAGUCGCGUGAAGGAAGGCGGCCCUAAGGGUUGUAAACUUCUUUUGUAAGGGAAUAAAGUGCGUUACGUGUAGUGCAUUGCAAGUACCUUACGAAUAAGGAUCGGCUAACUCCGUGCCAGCAGCCGCGGUAAUACGGAGGAUCCGAGCGUUAUCCGGAUUUAUUGGGUUUAAAGGGUGCGCAGGCGGGGGAUUAGGUCGGCGGUGAAAUAUCAGGGCUCAACCUUGAGAGUGCCGUCGAAACCGGUUUUCUUGAGUGCGGAUGAAGUAGGCGGAAUUUGUGGUGUAGCGGUGAAAUGCGUAGAUAUCACAAAGAACACCGAUUGCGGAGGCAGCUUACUAAACCGCAACUGACGCUCAUGCACGAAGGCGUGGGGAUCAAACAGGCUUAGAUACCCCAGUAGUC
rnacentral:rRNA from 1 species